GAUCAUGGCUCAGGAUGAACGCUAGCUACAGGCUUAACACAUGCAAGUCGAGGGGCAGCAUGGUCUUAGCUUGCUAAGGCCGAUGGCGGCCGGCGCACGGGUGAGUAACACGUAUCCAACCUGCCGUCUACUCUUGGACAGCCUUCUGAAAGGAAGAUUAAUACAAGACGGCAUCAUGAGUCCGCAUGUUCACAUGAUUAAAGGUAUUCCGGUAGACGAUGGGG
rnacentral:rRNA from 1 species